GUCGAACGAUGAAGCCCUUCGGGGUGGAUUAGUGGCGAACGGGUGAGUAACACGUGGGCAAUCUGCCCUUCACUCUGGGACAAGCCCUGGAAACGGGGUCUAAUACCGGAUAACACCCCCCAUCGCAUGGUGGGGGGUUAAAAGCUCCGGCGGUGAAGGAUGAGCCCGCGGCCUAUCAGCUUGUUGGUGGGGUGAUGGCCUACCAAGGCGACGACGGGUAGCCGGCCUGAGAGGGCGACCGGCCACACUGGGACUGAGACACGGCCCAGACUCCUACGGGAGGCAGCAGUGGGGAAUAUUGCACAAUGGGCGAAAGCCUGAUGCAGCGACGCCGCGUGAGGGAUGACGGCCUUCGGGUUGUAAACCUCUUUCAGCAGGGAAGAAGCGAAAGUGACGGUACCUGCAGAAGAAGCGCCGGCUAACUACGUGCCAGCAGCCGCGGUAAUACGUAGGGCGCAAGCGUUGUCCGGAAUUAUUGGGCGUAAAGAGCUCGUAGGCGGCUUGUCACGUCGGAUGUGAAAGCCCGGGGCUUAACCCCGGGUCUGCAUUCGAUACGGGCUAGCUAGAGUGUGGUAGGGGAGAUCGGAAUUCCUGGUGUAGCGGUGAAAUGCGCAGAUAUCAGGAGGAACACCGGUGGCGAAGGCGGAUCUCUGGGCCAUUACUGACGCUGAGGAGCGAAAGC
rnacentral:rRNA from 1 species